GUCUCAGUUCAGAUUGUAGGCUGAAACUCGCCUAUAUGAAGUCGGAAUUGCUAGUAAUCGCGGAUCAGCAUGCCGCGGUGAAUACGUUCCCGGGCCUUGUACACACCGCCCGUCACACCAUGAGAGUCGAUAACACCCGAAGCCUGUAGUCUAACAGCAAUGAGGACGCAGUCGAAGGUGGGAUUGAUAAUUAGGGUGAAGUCGUAACAAGGUACC
rnacentral:rRNA from 1 species